UACAGCCAUACAGUGUUGAAACACAGGUUGCCGUACGAUCACCGAAGUUAAGCAAAGUCAAACCUGGUCAGUAGCUAGAUGGGUGACCGCUUAGGAAUACCAGGUAC
rnacentral:rRNA from 1 species